rnacentral:lncRNA from 1 species
CUGCUUGGUGCUGUGGGCUGCUGAGAUAAUUUCUGGUGGCCUCUUUGCUCCCCAACUGUGCAGCCAUCAUGGAUGCCUCUAACUCUCCCUGUGAAAACCAUUUCCACGACUAAGUGGGAUACCUUGAGGGGAUGCAGCCUGAUAAGAGCUGGAUCUGGAGAGAGAAGGAGAUAAUCUUAAGCAGGCUCUAUGAUCAUAGUGGAGCCCAACACAGGGAUCAAUCCUACGACCCUGGGAUCACGACCUGAGCCGAAAUGGAGUUGGACGCUCAACUGACUGAACUACCCAUGCACCCACUGCUAUUUAUUUCUAAUAUAAUGCCUUUGUGACAGAGAACAGCUUGUGUAUUCUUUGAAUGAUUUAAAAUGUAUGCAGUUUUGUUUUAUGAUCCAGAAAUAUGGUGUAUCCAAAUAAAUGGUCUAUACACAGUUGAAAAGAAUGUGUA